rnacentral:lncRNA from 1 species
GGCCUUAUUGUGAGAGAAAACCAUUGCUGAUUGAUAGAAAAGGUACAACUUAUAAGACAAGCGAAUGAAGCCAAAGCCGUGGGUUGUUUAAAACUCCUUUUCUACUAUCAGGGUUGUUUAUUUAAAACCUUAGGCGUGGCAAGACCUGCUACUGUCUAUUUUCUAGAAAAGCCCUUCAACUUAUGAAGAGCUGGAUUAGUGUGUGGAAAGAGCUGAUUUCUAAUCCUGUCUAUAUAAUAUAGUUCUUUUUUUGUUAUUUAACUGGAGUCUAGGGACAUUGUUGAUAGUUUGAGGUAGGAUGUGCUCAGUUUAGUACUAAAAAACAGCUUUGACAACACGCAGUUAGCUAAGUAUUUAAAAUUUUAGAAUUAACUUUAAAUUUAAUGUAGCGCAGGAAAUAUAUGUACUAGUAAAAGGAAGAAGGUAAAAUCUGACGUACCAGAAUAAAAUCACAGUCAAGAACAACAAUAUAGUACAGAACGGAUCUGAAAUUUUUGACAACAAAAAAAAAAGAGAAAUGAGCAAUUCUAUAAAUGGAAGGAGACCAGUCCCCGUAACAGAAAGAAAAAAAAGGUAAGAUCUGAAGGAGCAAAAUAUACUGCAGUGAAGAACAGCGAAGUAGAAAACCAAUCUGAAAUCUUUUGCCAAAUAAAACCUAAAAUUAUGUUUAGCCAGCAUAGAGCUACGGGAGAGUGGAGAGAGUAGAGGGAGGAAAAAGGGGGAGAGAGAGAGAGGAAGGGAGAGAAACAGAAUCGGUUUAAUGGAAAGAUGAAAGAGAGAUGGACGACCCGAAAUGGACAAGCCUAUCGCGAGAUAAAGAGGUUUAGGGUUUGACCAGGACAGAUCUUGAAUCAGACCAAUGUUUGGGUCUUGUUUAGUUCACUCUUAGAACCAAAAACUUUUUAAGAUUUUUCAUCACAUCGAAUUUUGUAGCACAUGCAUAAAGUAUUAAAUAUAGUCAAAAACAAAAAUUAAUUACAUAGUUUGCUUGUAAAUUAUGAGAUGAAUCUUUUGAGUCUAGUUAGUCUAUAAUUGAAUGAUAUUUGCCACA